rnacentral:rRNA from 1 species
GACGAACGCUGGUGGCGUGCUUAACACAUGCAAGUCGAACGGUGUUGGCGGAGCUUACUCUUCUGUGUCAGAUGCCUACUGAUGAGUAACACCUGAGCAAUCAGCCCUUAACAACGUGACAAGCACAGGAAACGGCGUCUGAUAAACCAUACUAGAUUCCACGGAAACUCCAGCAACCGCAAAGAAUCACGGUCAGGGAUGAGCUCGCGGCCUAUCAGCUUGCUGGUGAGGCAAUGGCUCAUCAAGUCGUCGACGGGCAGACGGCCUGAGAAGAUGACCGGCCACACUGGGACGGAAAAACGGCCCGGACUCCGACGGGAGGCAGCAGUGGAGAAUAGAGCACGAUGGGCGAGGGCAAGAUGCAACAACGCCACGUGAGGGGCGACAGCCAUCGGGUUGUAAACCUCUUUUAGCAGGGAAGAAGCGAAAGUGACGGUACCAGCAGAGAAAGCGCCGGCUAACUACGUG